GACGAACGCUGGCGGCGUGCUUAACACAUGCAAGUCGAACGGAAAGGCCCUGCUUUUGUGGGGUGCUCGAGUGGCGAACGGGUGAGUAACACGUGAGUAACCUGCCCUUGACUUUGGGAUAACUUCAGGAAACUGGGGCUAAUACCGGAUAGGAGCUCCUGCUGCAUGGUGGGGGUUGGAAAGUUUCGGCGGUUGGGGAUGGACUCGCGGCUUAUCAGCUUGUUGGUGGGGUAGUGGCUUACCAAGGCUUUGACGGGUAGCCGGCCUGAGAGGGUGACCGGCCACGUUGGGACUGAGAUACGGCCCAGACUCCUACGGGAGGCAGCAGUGGGGAAUAUUGCACAAUGGGCGGAAGCCUGAUGCAGCAACGCCGCGUGCGGGAUGACGGCCUUCGGGUUGUAAACCGCUUUCGCCUGUGACGAAGCGUGAGUGACGGUAAUGGGUAAAGAAGCACCGGCUAACUACGUGCCAGCAGCCGCGGUGAUACGUAGGGUGCGAGCGUUGUCCGGAUUUAUUGGGCGUAAAGGGCUCGUAGGUGGUUGAUCGCGUCGGAAGUGUAAUCUUGGGGCUUAACCCUGAGCGUGCUUUCGAUACGGGUUGACUUGAGGAAGGUAGGGGAGAAUGGAAUUCCUGGUGGAGCGGUGGAAUGCGCAGAUAUCAGGAGGAACACCAGUGGCGAAGGCGGUUCUCUGGGCCUUUCCUGACGCUGAGGAGCGAAAGCGUGGGGAGCGAACAGGCUUAGAUACCCUGGUAGUCCACGCUGUAAACGGUGGGUACUAGGUGUGGGGUCCAUUCCACGGGUUCCGUGCCGUAGCUAACGCUUUAAGUACCCCGCCUGGGGAGUACGGCCGCAAGGCUAAAACUCAAAGGAAUUGACGGGGCCCCGCACAAGCGGCGGAGCAUGCGGAUUAAUUCGAUGCAACGCGUAGAACCUUACCUGGGUUUGACAUGGAUCGGGAGUGCUCAGAGAUGGGUGUGCCUCUUUUGGGGUCGGUUCACAGGUGGUGCAUGGCUGUCGUCAGCUCGUGUCGUGAGAUGUUGGGUUAAGUCCCGCAACGAGCGCAACCCUUGUUCACUGUUGCCAGCACGUUAUGGUGGGGACUCAGUGGAGACCGCCGGGGUCAACUCGGAGGAAGGUGGGGAUGACGUCAAGUCAUCAUGCCCCUUAUGUCCAGGGCUUCACGCAUGCUACAAUGGCUGGUACAGAGAGUGGCGAGCCUGUGAGGGUGAGCGAAUCUCGGAAAGCCGGUCUCGGUUCGGAUUGGGGUCUGCAACUCGACCUCAUGAAGUCGGAGUCGCUAGUAAUCGCAGAUCAGCAACGCUGCGGUGAAUAAGUUCCCGGGGCU
rnacentral:rRNA from 1 species